AUUGAACGCUGGCGGCAGGCCUAACACAUGCCAGUCGAACGGAUGGGCGGACGCGUGAGUAAUGUCUGGGAAACUGCCCGUUGUAGGGGUAUAACUACUGGAAACGGUAGCUAAUACCGCAUACCAUCGGCUGUGCCCAGAUGUGAUUAGCUAGUUGGUGGGGUAAAGGCCUACCAAGGCGACGAUCCGUAACUGGUCUGACAGGAUGAUCAGUCACACUGGAACUGAGACACGGUCAAGACUCCUACGGGAGGCAGCAGUGGGGAAUAUUGGACAAUGGGCGAAAGCCUGAUCCAGCCAUGCCGCGUGUGUGAAGAAGGUCUUCGGAUUGUAAAGCACUUCAAGUUUGGAGGCGUUACCAACAGAAUAAGCACCGGCUAACUUCGUGCCAGCAGCCGCGGUAAUUC
rnacentral:rRNA from 1 species